UGAGGAAUAUUGCGCAAUGGGGGCAACCCUGACGCAGCGACGCCGCGUGAGUGAGGAAGGCCUUCGGGUCGUAAAGCUCUGUCAAAGGGAAAGAAGUGCAUGGUGGCUAAUACCUGCCAUGUUUGACGGUACCCUUAAAGGAAGCACCGGCUAACUCCGUGCCAGCAGCCGCGGUAAUACGGAGGGUGAAAGCGUUGUUCGGAAUCACUGGGCGUAAAGGGCGCGUAGGCGGUUUGAUAAGUCAGAUGUGAAAGCCCACGGCUUAACUGUGGAAGUUCAUUUGAAACUGUUAGACUUGAGUAGCGGAGGGGAAAGUGGAAUUCCCGGUGUAGAGGUGAAAUUCGUAGAUAUCGGGAGGAAUACCGGUGGCGAAGGCGACUUUCUGGCUGAAUACUGACGCUGAGGCGCGAAAGCGUGGGGAGCAAACA
rnacentral:rRNA from 1 species